UACAGAGGGUGCGAGCGUUAAUCGGAAUUACUGGGCGUAAAGCGUGCGUAGACGGUUACAUAAGUCGGGUGUGAAAGCCCCGGGCUCAACCUGGGAAUUGCAUUCGAGACUGCGUAGCUAGGGUGCGGAAGAGGGAAGCGGAAUUUCCGGUGUAGCGGUGAAAUGCGUAGAUAUCGGAAGGAACACCAGUGGCGAAAGCGGCUUCCUGGUCCAGCACCGACGUUCAGGCACGAAAGCGUGGGGAGCAAACAGGAU
rnacentral:rRNA from 1 species